ensembl:lncRNA
AACAUUAACAAUGAUGCUCACAUUUUAAAUGCCAAAUGCAAAUGAUUAUGGUUUGCAGAUAUGUACACAUACGAAGAGGAAUUUUCAUAUCCAGCUCCAGUUGAAUGACCACACUCAUAUUUACGUUCUCUGUCAACAAGAAUUUUUUCAUGGACUUUCCAGGACACUUCACCUAAAAUAAAUAGAAAAAUGAUUCUGCUAUUAAAAAAAGCUACUCUUCUGUUAGUAACAACAAUUACAAUGUGUGCUACUUCAUCUUUCCGUCAGAAACUUGGCUUGGGAGGCUGUCUCUUCGACCUCGGACAGAAACUUGACUUGGGAGGCCAUCUCUUCGACCUCGGACAGAAACUUGUCUUGGGAGGUCGUCUCUUCAACUUCGGACAGGAAUUUGGCUUGGGAGGCCGCCUCUUUAACCUCGUAUGUGAAC